CUUGAACUCCUGGCCUCAAGCAAUGCUCCUGCUUCAGGCUCUCAAGUUGCUGGAAUUACAGGCUGCCUCCUCUGAGCCUUCCCAUAGAGUCUCAGUCUGUGAUGAAAUAGACAGAACCCCAAGCUACCAGGAAGGGCACCUGCCUCCUAGAUCGGGAUCUUCAUCCAUUCACACUUAAGGAUGUUCCAGGGCAUGUCAUAAAGCAAGACGCACAGGACAGAGGGGAGCAGUGGCGCUGAACUACAGCCACGAAGGCCUGAGUUCACAGUCCGGUCUGUCACUCUCCAUGGGGCUGUUCCCUCUGACAUUGGUUUCAUCUAUAAAAUGGGCUAAACCCUA